CCGAGUGAGGGUCUCCGGGCCCGACCUCCAACCCCAUGUUACCUGUACCUAGUUGCCUCGGGGGCGACCCGGCCUUCGGGCGUCGGGGCCCCCGGUGGACCCCGAACACUGCAUCUGUGCGUCCGAGUACCACAUAAUCAAUCA
rnacentral:misc_RNA from 1 species